GGCCCCAUAGUUCAAUGGAUAGAACAAGGCACUCCUAACGCCUAGAUGUAUGUUCGACUCAUGCUGGGGUCACAA
rnacentral:tRNA from 1 species